UUGUGUGUGACAUUGAUCUGGCGUUGGUGAGUAGGAGUCUUGGCAGUGGCGAUAUUUGUGUGGUAGUUUCCUUAGCCGGGCAAGCAGGCCCGACCGGCGUCCUUGCUUCUCCAUCCUCCCCGCCUUCCUCGCCUGCCGCGGCCGACAACAAUACAACGAGUGCCCGCUAGUCUGGUGGAUGUCCUCCAGAGGACAGGUCAUGCCUUCACAGCAAAAAAAUUUAGUUUAUAUCAGGGUUCUAAAUUAACACCCACCAACCCGUCAAAUGCUGGUUAAAAUUAAUUUUGGCGGGUGUUAAUAAACACUUACUAGCCAGUUUGGCUGGUGAUGCAUGAGACAUUACAUGCAUGAUACAUCCGUCCUCGGUCAUUUAUCCCCCUGGCAGUACUUCCUACAUUUCCCAAGAACAUUGUGCCGUAAUGCUGCGUGAUGACAUUUCAUACUCCCAUUGGCUGCGCGCAGUCUGAAGCGAAACCAGCGCGAGAAACCAUGGAAACGAACGGAGCCAGAGCAGGGAGCAUAGACUGAAAGAAUAGGGAGUUAGCUAGUAAAGUAAAGUAAAAAGUUAAGAUUAAACUAAAUGCGGCAGUGGUUGGGUCAGACUUCUGGGGGCGAGAAGAGGAACGAGGCAGGGGAUGAGGAUAUUGACAGAGAAACGAAGAAAAGAAAAUGUAAUGCCAAAUGGCUGACGGGUCGUGAAUGGCUUGUGUUUGAUCACGAAAAUGUCGUCAUGUUUUGUCAGGACUGCCACAUGUAUGCGAAAGAAAAAAACAAAACGAACAAUUUGGUGGUAGGAACUAAUAAUUUUAAAGUCGAGGUAGUAAAGGACCAUGAGAGUGCCCGAAGUCAUCAGUAGAGCCUAAGGAUUAAAACUGCCAAGACAGGUCAUAUUGAAGAGAGCCUUACCGGGAGAAGCCUUGCUUUAUUGAAGACGUGAGAGUUGGAGAAGAUGCAGCUACUUUUUCAGAAUGCCCACCCCAUUGGAAAAAAGGGCAGGCCUUUCACCGACUUCGCAUGGAUGUGUGAGUAAGUGAAUUAACGUUACUAUUUACAUGUUUCAGAAACAGUGCAUUUAAUACAAUUCAGAGUGCUUCCAUAAACACAGAUGAAACUUUACGUUUGGGGGUUUCAAAAAGAAGAAAAAAAAUCUCACUGAAAUGUACUGUGUGCUAACAGUGGCUUCAUUUACACGAAAAUUUAUUUCAGGGUGGACAGGAAGAAAGGCUUGAAGAUAGGAGAGACGUACACAAAUGACUACCAGGCAAAAGAGUUCAUAAACUACAUAGCAGAGGAUGAGAGAAGAAAGAUGAGGGCAAGAUUAUCAGAUGGCAAGUUAAUCUCGGUCAUGUCAGAUGGAUCUCUCGACAGUGCAGCGAUGGAAGAAGAAAUGGUCUACGUCAGGAGUACCAGUGAGGGGAAGGUCAAAGUUGAUUUUGUCGGGUUAAAAGCUGUCUCGAAGCCAGAUGCUACAAAUAUAGCUGAAGCAGUGUGCAGUAUAAUGGAAAGUGGAGUCAGCACUGAUUGGAAGAACAAGCUAGUGGCAAUCACCACAGAUGGAGCAUCUGUAAUGACAGGAGUAAACAGUGGUGUAGUUACAAAACUGCGUGCAGACAGACCAAAUGUGCUGGGGAUCCACUGCAUGGCCCAUAAGCUAGAGCUUGCCUUUACAGACGGAAUAAGGAAAAAUGUGAUGGCCAGGAAAGUUGAGGACCUGUUGAGUGGACUCUACACCUUAUAUCAUAAGAGUGGAGUGAACAGGGCCAGCCUAAAGCAACACUUCAGGGAGCUCCACAUGAAGGCUUUGAUGCCAACCAGAGUAGGUGGAACCCGGUGGCUACUACAUCUUUUCAAAGCACUUGACCAUUUUCUCAGGGGUUAUGCUGGCAUUGUACGCCACUUGGAGGAGAAGGUAUGUUAAUAUUGAGCCUACUAAAACCAGCAGUGUAGAUGGAUUAUUUAAUGUUUGCUUUCUUUUUCUCUUCAUCAGUUUUAAAUGCUGUCUGAUAUAAUGCAGUUGUUUUGCUUGUAGUCCCAGGAGGCCACGAACAUCAAUGCUGUUCUGAGGCCAAGGGGUUCCUCAACAUAGGCAAGGAUGGUGGAGUGCUCAGGUUUUGCUGCCUUCUCCAUGACACCAUCUAUCAACUGAGCAACCUCUCCAAGUCACUGCAGAGGUCAGUGUCAACCCUGGCUGAAGCUUAGAGCUGCCUUUCCUCCACUCAGGCCGUCAUAGAAAAGUAUAAGUCAAGACCUGGGCCUAAGCUGAGAGCAGUGCUGGACACAGACUCCUAUGAGUGCCGACCAGCAUGACAAGGCAAAGAAUGAGCUAAUUGAUUCUCUGUACCGGUGCAUCACUGCUAGAUUUAGUGAUGUGAAGAGUGGUGUCCUGCAGGCUAUGCGGCUGACCAGUUUCCAGUGCUGGCCAGAGGCAGACACAAGUUCAGAUUUUGGUGAUGAAGAGGUAAACAAUCUCAUCAGUCACUUCCGACCUCUUUUACUGUCUGCUGGAGUGGAUGUGGAGUUGAUCCCUGAUCAAUGGACAAUUCUCAAGACUUAACUGCACACAGCAGGAUUCAGCCAAGGAACCUUUGAGAAGACCUGGCCUACUGUGAACAAAAUGCUUCGCCAUCGGUGUCCUGAUGUCCUUGAUCUUUUUGAUGCUCUACCCACGAUCCCUGCAGCUACACCUGACUGUGAAAGAGGGUUCAGUGUUAUGAAGCAGGUAAAGAGUGACUGGCGCUCACGCCUAAAAAUUGAGACCCUCUCUGACCUCCUUAAAACCCAGUUGUGCUCACCUGACAUCAAAGACUUUGAUCCAACCAAAGCCAUUGACAUCUGGCAUGCUGACAGUUUGCACUUACGCAGGCCUGACUUUGUGCACAAACAUGGAACAAAAGGAACAGAGGGUGGCUCAGAUUCUGAUGGCACCACCUCUGAAGAAGAAGAGCUCUGAAGACAUGCGAUUCAAAUGAUAGAUAGAUAGAUAGAUAGGUAGGUAGAUAG